AAUGAACGCUGGCGGCAGGCCUAACACAUGCAAGUCGAGCGAGCAUUUCGGUGCUAGCGGCGGACGGGUGAGUAACGCGUGGGAACGUGCCCUUUUCUGCGGAAUAGUCCUGGGAAACUGGGGGUAAUACCGCAUACGCCCUUUUGGGGAAAGAUUUAUCGGAGAAGGAUCGGCCCGCGUUGGAUUAGGUAGUUGGUGGGGUAAUGGCCCACCAAGCCGACGAUCCAUAGCUGGUUUGAGAGGAUGAUCAGCCACACUGGGACUGAGACACGGCCCAGACUCCUACGGGAGGCAGCAGUGGGGAAUCUUAGACAAUGGGGGCAACCCUGAUCUAGCCAUGCCGCGUGAGUGAUGAAGGCCUUAGGGUUGUAAAGCUCUUUCAGCUGGGAAGAUAAUGACGGUACCAGCAGAAGAAGCCCCGGCUAACUCUGUG
rnacentral:rRNA from 1 species